rnacentral:misc_RNA from 1 species
AUGCGAUAAGUAUUGUGAAUUGCAGAAUCCAGUGAAUCAUCGAAUCUUUGAACGCACAUUGCGCCCGCCGGCAUUCCGGCGGGCAUGCCUGUUCGAGCGUCAUUUCGACCCUCACCCCCAUUAAGGCGGGUGGCGUUGGGGUGUCCGCGUCACUGCGGAGGCCCUCAAGUUUAUAGGCGGUCCCAUCGAGUCCCCGAACGCAGUAAAAUCACUAUCGUUCGGCGGCCACGGCGGCGUUCUUGCCUUUAAACAUCCAACUUUUAAAAGGUUGACCUCGGAUCAGGUAGGAAUACCCGCUGAACUUAA